rnacentral:rRNA from 1 species
UACGAAGGGGGCUAGCGUUGCUCGGAAUUACUGGGCGUAAAGCGCACGUAGGCGGCUUUCUAAGUCGGGGGUGAAAUCCUGGAGCUCAACUCCAGAACUGCCUUCGAUACUGGAAAGCUCGAGUCCGGGAGAGGUGAGUGGAACUGCGAGUGUAGAGGUGAAAUUCGUAGAUAUUCGCAAGAACACCAGUGGCGAAGGCGGCUCACUGGCCCGGUACUGACGCUGAGGUGCGAAAGCGUGGGGAGCAAACA